rnacentral:lncRNA from 1 species
UGUCUUUCUCAUGCCUUUGAUUUUCCCAGCUCCUCUUGGUUGAAUCAACCUAAGUGCUCUGCUGUGGUUUAAAUGUGUCCCCCAAAGUUUAUGUGCUGGAAACUCAAUCCUCAAUGCAACAGUUGGGAUGUGGGGGCCUAAUACAAUAGCCUUCAUGAAUGAGUUAAUGUUGUUGUGGUGGUAAUAGAUUAGUAAUCACAGAGUGGGCUUAUUAUAAAACAGAGUUCAGCCCCUUUUGCCCUCUUGCUUUCUUGCACUUUCUUUUCCUUCUGCCUUCUGUAGUGGGAUGAUGCAGCAAGAAGACCCUUACCAGAUGCAGGCCCCUCAACCUUCGACUUCCUAACAUCCAGAACUAGCCACCUAAGCUGAAGAUUCCCUUGAGAACAAGUACUGUCCUGCGGUUUCAUGGCCUUUCUUCCAUUUGUGGUUCUUGCGAAGUGGAAUUUAAAUGACAUCUUAUCAAGAUCGAUAAAUACUAGUUUCCCAGUGCUGGAAUAUAGAAAAUGGAUGGACAAGUAAAUCCCACUCAGCACCCAUAGUCCAGGCAUGGGGACCUCAACACACCUGAGCCCCAAACAUCACCUUUCAUUCUGGACCUACCAUGAAAGACUUCUGAAUCCAGGAAGAGAAACUGACUGGGCAACAUGUUAUUCAGAAACAGGACCUUGCCCUGUCACUCAGGAUGGAGUUCAAUGGUCCUAUCAUGGCUCAUUAUAGCCUUAAACUCCCAGGCUCAAGCAAUCCUACCAUGUCAGCCUUCCCAGUAGCUGGGACUACAGGAAGUGACCUCACAAUGACUCAAGCUACCACAUACUGUUGAUUGUGAAAUGCCAGUUGAAGCAUAUGUCCUGCGAGCUUAGGGGUGCUACAAGUUGACCACUGCAGCAGUAAAGAUGACUCUGAAGAAUGGCAUGGGAUGGAUCCUUUCGAAUGCACUUGAGCAGCGGUCUCCAACCACAGGGCCACAGAGCUGGAGCUGGAUCUACCAUGAAAGACUUCUGAAUCCAGGAAGAGAGACUGACUGGGCAACAUGUUAUUCAGGGUCUCCCUCUGUUGUCCAAGGCUGGAGUGUAGUAGUGCUA